rnacentral:rRNA from 1 species
GACGAACGCUGGCGGCGUGCUUAACACAUGCAAGUCGAGCGGUAAGGCCCUUUCGGGGUACGACGAGCGGCGAACGGGUGAGUAACACGUGGGUGACCUGCCUUUAGCUCUGGGAUAAGCCUGGGAAACUGGGUCUAAUACCGGAUAUGACCCUAUGGCGCAUGUUGUGGGGUGGGAAAGCCUUGUGCGGCUAGGGAUGGGCCCGCGGCCUAUCAGCCUGUUGGUGGGGUGAUGGCCUACCAAGGCGACGACGGGUAGCCGGCCUGAGAGGGCGACCGGCCACACUGGGACUGAGACACGGCCCAGACUCCUACGGGAGGGCAGCAGUGGGGAAUCUUGCGCAAUGGGCGAAAGCCUGACGCAGCGACGCCGCGUGAGGGAUGACGGCCU